ACGCGGGCUGUGUUACACAGCCCUCCUUGCUUGAAGCACAUUAAGCAGCACAAGCACCAGUCUGGAGCUGACAGAAGCCUUACUAAGCACAUGGCUGCUGAAACAACAGAACGUGCCACCAGCCCUACUCUUUUCACUCUGUGACGUUCUCAGUUUCUAGGCUAGGAUGGAGGAGGACUGUGCCCAGGACAGAUGCCUGCAGGAGCAGGGAGAAUUAUGGAGAACCUUGAGGGCAUUUCCUGCCACUCAGCAUUCCAGUAACUGCCACAGGGAUGGAUAACUAUGGAACAGGAUCACAAGAUGUAGCAGCAAGGAGCGAGAUGUGAACUCACCACCUGUACCAACCAGAACUGUAUCUAAAAACAAGGUUUACAAAGUUGAGGAGCAUGGUAGUUUUGCUUUAGGACAAGGAGGCAAAAUUCACACCAAGGUUCACCUGUACUACUGAACAUGGCAAUGGAAAGGGCUUUCCAUCCUCAUCCAUUAUUUCCACAUCUGUUUCCUAUGACGAAGCCAGAACAGGGACAGGCAGCAUUUGCAAGCCAUGGGGUGGCACCCUGGGGAACUGGCUGACACUCUUCCACCUGGACAAAGUAUUUGGGAAGCUGAAAUGGAUGGAUGGAUGCCUUCUUCCUCACAGUACAACCCUAGAUUUGCUUCUUGACCUAUUAUAUUUAAGCUAGCAUAAUGGCAAGAGUAAAAUAAAUCACAUUCAAGCUAGCUUUUUAAUUGAGCUAUGACAGGAAGGAUUGGGACUUCCAGCUGCUUCUUGUGAUGUAGUUAAAAGGAGAAAAUACUGCAGCAUUUUUUCACCGAAGUCUCAGUAAUAAUUAUACUGCAAUCAAGGAAAGUGAGCACAGUAGGUAGAAAUACCACACAGGAACAGAAAACGGUUCUUAAUCCCAAAGUCAGAUUUCACACUUUCAUCCUCACGUUUUUCAUAGAAAGAUUAACACAGACAGUAAGUGAUGGUGUUUCCUGCCAAAUCAACCCCAGGAAAUACAGGAAUCCCAGUCACUGCAAAUUACAUCUCACCGGAUUUCCAGCACAAAACAGAGGCAGUAAAUUCCCUAUUCCCUGUUUGUCAAAAAUGAACACCAGUGCCACUGAAGCUUGACCAGGAAAGGCAAAUAACACUCCCCAACAGAAAGGAACUAGAAGGACAUCUGUGCUAACGCUUUGCCUUAUCUCCCAUACUCGUUAUUUAAGCCUAGAAUAAAACGAGUUCUAAGAUUUGGAUUUGAUCAGAAAUGGCGUGUUGCCAUCAGGGCAGUUCAUCCAGGCUCAAGGAGGUGACUUGGGAAUAAUUUGGGAUAAGGAACCUCAGCUUAAUUCCUGGGAGAAUAAGUGUGGAAGACCAUUGGAAUUAUUCUGCUUCUUUCCUUCUCCAACCAAAGAGGGACCUUGGAGCCAACACUGCCCUGGAGCACAGGGGUCUGCAGCCCAGCUCCUGCACAGCCCCACCUGCAGCAGCAAGUAACCAAGGCCUCAGAGCUGCAGGUGUUACCCCGUGCUGCUUUCAAACAGCAACAAGACCCAGCUGAAGAGGGCAGAGGGAUCACCAAGAGAACCCUUUAAAUGAACAGCCUCAGCAAAUGGGCAAUCCAUAGGAAACUUCAAUCAUUAAUAAAGGAUCAUGGCCUUCCCCUGGCAGCA